AGCACUUGGGUGAAUGUGGCUCAUGGUCUGGGAGUGGAGAGGGCUUCCCCGGUGGGUAGAGAUGAGCUUUGUGUAAAUGCAGUUUACACUUGGGACUGGGGAAGUGGAGCUUGUGCCUUCUCCGGUCGUAAUGGACUCCAUGUCUGUCUUAGGAAGUAAAUUUGCUAAAUAGCUGAUGAGGCGUGAGGACACAUUCCACGGCUACAGAAAAGUUACUGCUAUGAUGUCCCUUAUAAUUAUGGAAAAAGAGAACUUUUCAGUGCUAUCUAUGUGCCCGAUACAGAACUUAUUUAGGCACCUAGAGGCCUGCUGAGACAAGUACUUGAAAAUCUGAAGAGCAGCAAACUAUCCAGAUACCUGCAAAGAGUUGACAAGUGAGGUGGACCCAUCAGCAUUCUAGAGGGAAGGCAGAGAGAACGGAGACUCACAGAGCUUCUCUGUGUCCAUCCGUUUUACCCAUGGAGCUUCAGAGUGCAGCACCCAGAAUUGGUCACAGGAAGGCCAUAGAUGUGGUUUAGCCUACCAGGGUCCUGUGGGAUUAUUAACUGACUCCUUUGUUUGACUACAAAGUGCACAUUCACUCUGUUUUGAUCAGGGUGAUCACCUGGUGAGAUAGACCAGUGCCGUGUCGGCACAGCGUUCUGCCCCUUCCUUGGGCAAGUGGGCUUUCCCUCUCUAUGAAGUAGCAAUGGUGAUAGUUGCCUAAGGUUUUAUAGUUUAUAUAUGCCUCUCACACCACCUGUUUCAAUUAGUCCUUUUCUUGGCUAACUCAUGGGGCUGUUGUGAUCAUACAAAAAAUACAUGCAAUAGUAUUUUAUAAAGAAUUGUGUCCCUGUGCACAUCAGGAUAGCAUCAGCUUUCUCAGGCAGAGUUGGUUUACUGAGGAAUCAUUACUAGUUACUUCUAGAACUUUGAGGCGGGAUUUUACAUGUAUCUUGAAUAAUUUGUUUAUUAAGCUAGGAUCUUUCUGAAUAUGAAUUUUAUUUCUUUUUAACUAUUCCUAAUUUAAUUUUCUGUAAGUGUAAUAAUUAUGCCCAAUACUUUCCAAAUUACUAAUCACCAGAACAGAAGAGAGCAGAUCUAACUCUGAGCCCUGAGGUCACAGCACUGGGGCUCUUCCCGUCGGGACAUGGGUCAGCACAGGGGGCGUGGUGGUGGUUUCUGGCCAGGCUUUGCCUCUAGGGUUACCAGACUGGACUUAAGGAGUGCAACAGACAUAAGGGCUUUUAUCAGAAAGUAAAACAAAUAUGUCCCUAGUGAUCCAUCUAAGAUUACGAGAUUGGGUAGAUCAAGGAGAUGUGACGCCCCUAAAAUCCAGCAGCAUUCAAAUGCAGAUCCCUUUCCAUAACAACGUAGAUCUUUAAAUCUGUGACAUUUCCCUGGUCUGGUGAUAAUACCAGUGGAUGAAAAAUCAUUUAUUGAAUACACAGUUUGCUCCAGGCAUGGGCUCUAGGGGUACAGAGAUGUAUGUAGUCUGCCUUGCCCUCAAGACGAGGACAUAGGUGCUUAGCCAGGCCUCGCACACCUGUGUUGGCUCCUGGUGAUGACCGCCUUUCUCUGCCCCCCCACCCAAGCACAUCUGCCCUCCAGGUGUCUGCUCUAAUGACUGCCAGGCUCCUGAGCCUGUAGUAGACAGGCCCUCGCCUUUGGGGAGGCAUGGGGAAGGAGUGGGCCCAUCUCUUGGUUCUUGUUAUUUGCCACGGUUUCUACACAGUGAACUGUUGAAUGAAUACAUGUGUAAAUUUGUUAUUCUGACUCUAGAUUUUUCUGGGAACCCAGCCUCUAUGCUUACUCCCUCCUUGUUUAGAUUUGAACUUUGAAAAUCCACUUUUAACUGUGUAUGUUCCAAACUGUAAUCUGAAGGUCGUUGCCUAGGUAGAGAUAGAGAAGACAAAAUUGACAGUCGAUUUGUUGUUUUCCUGUCAUUUGUUAGUUAAACUGUUUUCUGUAGGUACUGGACCAACUCAAGUUAUUUUAAAAGCUUUAAUUUGUCAGUUUCAUAGUAUUCUUACGUUAAAGCUAUAAUGUCUUUGUAUGUAUUUGGCUGUACAUAUGUGAAAAGAAAAAACUGUGGGUGCCAUAUGCUGAUACCUUGACAUGAAGAUCUGGCUGUACCUCUGGGAGAAGCGCCUGAUUUUAAAAUGCUCUUAGGUGUCACUCCGGCUCACUUGAGGCAAAUGUGAUGUUCCGUAGCUUGGGAAUAUGUAGUUCUUCUCCAUCAAAUCUAUAGCAAGUUCACAUCACAGAAUGAGCCUCAGAUUCUGUAGUGACCUUCAUAAAGGCAUGCAGUCUACCUUGACAUAAUUGUCCCAAAUGUAAAGUGAUUUUCUGUAGAAUUUCCACCCCUACCCAUCAUAAGUUUCAAAUCAGCCUUUAAAAAAGUUACUUUAUCCUUUUCAUCAUCAAUAACUGAGAAAGAAUGAGAGUUUGGAAUGCAAAGACAUUCUACAAAGAGCAGAGACAGAGGCAGGAAUGAACAUAGAGAUGAGUGGAGAUGGGAAUGGACAGUGUCAGAGAUGAGCUUACCUGCUAGUGGAACUUUCUUUUUGAAAGUAGACAAUAUUGUAGACAAUAAUGUGAACAGGCCGCGGAGGGGCUCAAUUACUAGAAAGCUCUGUACCUCUGCACUCGAGCUGAUAUAAAUGGAGACUGUUAAUUCUGAUAUGUGUCAGGCAUUGAGAUGCAACCCCCACCUCCUUUACCUAUGGAACAGGCUUUAUCCUCACAAUGGCCCUGGAAGGAAGGAGACUGACUACCUGCAAGAAAUGGGGUCAUCAGGGUUAAGUUACUUACUAGUUCACACUGGAAUUGGGAACACAGGCUUUGGAAGUUCUUUAGUUUGACUUCAAGGCAUGUGAUCUUUAGUCUCUGCUGUAACCCCAGUGUGAAUACUUAAAAAAUAUGCAAAAAUAUUUACAUGUUUGUAGGACCCAUGGUACAGGGGAGGUGUUAAGGCAAGUAAGAAAAAAAGAAUAUUAAAGUCUGUUCAUUGCUUUGCAUGAGGCAUCAAGAAUGGCAAAUGAUAAAGCAAAAGAAGGGAAGCGGCACCAGGAUAUUUCUGGUGGAAAUCUGUUUGCUUCUUAUUUCAGACUGGUUGCCCUCAUAGUUUUCCCUUUAUUUUAAAUACCCUACUUUGUUCUUUGUUCUUUUUUUCUGCAAAUAUCUUCACGUACCUUAUUUAGUGGGUGUUUAUCUCUUUCCAGUGGAAGGUAAGCUUUUAGGGCAGAGACUUUGCCUUUGAGCCAUGGCUGGUUUAGUAGCUCUGUGCAGGAAGGACAGAAGGAAGGGGUAGUGGAGGAAGAAGUUGAAGGAAGAAAUAAAUCCGUGACACCCAAGGAGUACUUAAGAGAGAGGGAAGCUGACAUUGAAUAUAAUUUUACUUAGAGAGUGUGGGGUAAUGUUGGAUUAUCCUGGUGGCUUUAAACAGGGAGCCUAGAGAGCAUUCAGGCAUGGCUGAAAUUUGGGAGACAUUGUGGUAACCACCAGAGACAAUUGUCUGCUUCUAGGUUUAACACGCUCUGUGAUAAGAAUAUAUUGUGGGAAGGAAUAUAUGGGAAAGACAUGUCUUCAUUCUUCAGUAGAUUCUAGAAUGUUCCUGGGUGGAAGUGGGGCCAUCGGACAGUGUUAAUGGGUACAUACAUAUUAUUCUGCCUCUUGCCAGGUGCACCUCCAUCUUUUCACUAAAUUGCACUUUGACUGAACGCUCCCUGCUCAUGCUGAGAAGCACCAUAAAACAGUGCAGAAGCCCUGCUUUCUGGUCAGUUGUUGAGAUUUUUUUUGAAGCUCAGUUACCCUCAUUACUCUGUAUCCUCUGUUGGAGAUUCUAAGGAAAACGUCUCAAACCUCAGGGCCAGAGAGGGAACUGGGCUGUUUCUUUGCAAGGCGGAGGCUUUUAUCUGAUCCAGCUGCUUCCUCUACUCUUAGGAAGUAUAGGCCCUGGGGGCUCAUGUUUUUUUGAAGAUCUUACUCUAGUGCUGUUUUAGUUUUAUACAUACAUACAUAGUUUUAUACUUACAUAGUGCUGUUUUAGUUUUAAAACUUGGUUCCUGUAAUACACGUGCAAGUGCCUGGAAGACAGUUGACAGGCAGGAGCUCACCUCUGGGAAGGGAGUAGGAUUGGGGAGAGACGUGUGAAGAGAAAGACCUGUGCCUUUUACUUUGGCGCCGUGUUUUACUUUGUUUCGUCAUCUUUCCCAAAGAGUCUUUUAGGUGUUUAUCCUAAUUGCCUCCUGAUACCCCGCAAAUUGAAUACAAGUGAAUAGAGCUUGUUGGGGAGGGCCACAAGUCAUUGUGAUGCCUAAGGUUGUUCUCACUGCCCCCCACAAGAGCCAGGUUUCACCCCUUUGGGGGACAGCAUCACUCCCGUUGAGAAUGUGUGCUUGACACACUUCUAUUCUGCUCACUUACGUAUUUAACUAGUGUUAUUUUAGAAAUCCAAAAGCAAGGUCACACAGCCAGAAAGGGUUGAGUUCCCUUUGAACCAGAGGGUGACUCUGGACUGGUGCUCUGAGCUGGUUUGAGGAGAGCACUCGGGGAAGGGAGGAAGGCCGAAGACCCCCACCCCACCCCACCCCCCAGGGGCUGAGUCUGGCCCAGGUGCAGCCGGAAGUGGAGCGAUUGCCCAGUGGUAGGGCAGGAGCAGGAUGGCAGAGCACUCAGUGCCAGGAGGAUGGUCCACUGGCCAAGGGCCCCGGACACCUUUUUCCUUAAUAUUCACUCUCUUUGCCUUUUGAUUGUAUCUGGCAAGGGGGUGUUCGUCAGCGUUAGUGAGAAGGCCUCCAGCAGGUGCUCUUCUCAGGGACUAUACCCAAGUCCUUCACUGUGUGCUUUGACCUGAGAAGGACUGGGAGGCAGACAGAGCUCUAGAGAAUUCCUGGCUGUUCCGGAAAGGAGGUAUGAGCCUAUGAAGAAACGGGCUGCUGCGAACUUCAAAGAACCAGGCAGAAACUGUGCAAUCACUUGGGAAGGUCAAAUAAAAAUCUUGGAGAAGAGUAAAGAAAAUGAUGUUUAUAAAUAACUUGGAGAAUGAUUUUUAAACAAAUUCGAGUGAAAUUUCCAUGACGUAUUAGACAGUAAGAUUAACUUUUUAAGCUUAAGGAAGAAAAUGUUAGUAUUUUGUGCAUGAUGUUUCGAAAUUAAAGCUUUUUUUUUUGAGUUGGAAAAAGUGAACAGAUUUUAUCGGCCAAAAGUUACUUUUUACUUCUAAUUGCUCUCAGUCCUUUGAUUUUUUUUUAAGAUGUGUAUAGCAAAGUGUUCAGAAAUUACCUCUGUAAAGAAAAUAAUAUUUGCUUGGGUUGUAUUUUGAUAUAUGCUUAAAGGAAACACUUAAGCUUUCUGCAUCCUAUGGAAUAGUGCUGCAAGCUAGAAGGUAAGAGAUAAUUUGAAAUGACACUUUCUUCCUAGGUGAUUUCAUAAGAAUUUUUUUUCACUUAAAAAAACAAAAACAAGUUGAAUUCUUAAAUUCUAUUAAGCUGGCUUGACUGCAGAAAGCUCACUUAUUUAAAAAAUAUUAGCAGUAUUUGUGUAGAUAAAUCCUUGAUGUGGUUCCUCACAGGAAAGCCCUAAGCAAAACCAGCAAUUACAUAAUGUGGAUGCAUACCUAGUUUUCAUUUUUAGUUUAACACUUGGGGUCUUAAGCUUUGCAUGUAUGUGCUUAGGAAAUUUUUCUGUGUAUGUGCUAUUGCAUUAAGUCUAGAGACAGAGUCAGCUGUGCAGAGCUCCACCUUAAAACCAUCUGACUCCAGUCCCUCAUUUUUCUCUCAUUAUCCCGUGAUGAGAACAGUCAACAGAGAAGGUAAUUUUCUCUCUGGCAUUACUACUGGGAUAUUUCAAGUUAGAUCUGUAAUCACACUGUGGUUUGGGGCAUGGCACUGAAUCUGUCAGAAACAUUCUGAACAAAGGAAGCAUAAAUAAUGCUCUUAUAUUAUUUUGGUUGAAUAAUAAUUGGUCGUACUUAAGACUUACUACCAACAAGCAACCCACAAAAAACCCCCAGCCCCCCCAA